GGAGAUUGCUGUUGCCCUCUACAGUAACAGGAAACAAAGAAGGUAUUUGCCUAAAAGAAAUCCAUUCUUAACCCAUUGAUGAUUAUUUUAAAGCCUAUUGUGUGACUUUAGGAUCUGAUACCUGUUCUGUAGGCUCAGGAUCCAGACCCUUAUGGGCAUAUCCAGAAACCACACCUACUCCUCUACCAGCAAAUAUUUCCAUGUGCACAGAGUUUUUGACAUAGACUUGUCCAAGGAUACUAAACAAACUCCACUGACAGAGUCAAGAAUUUCCUUAAGGACUUUAUUGCUGACUAUGGAUUGCCACUCACUAAUAAUGAUAAUCCUGUUGAAACCAAUCAUGAUUGACCUGCAUGAACUGUGAUUAAAAAAUAAAAAGGGAAAAGUGGAGAGUAGAGUCAUCUGUAAGUCCUUUGGAAGACUGAAGCAAGGCAAGUUCACUUGGGAAACUUUAGGGGACAUAGCAAGGCCUAUUCUGCAGCUGGUGAUCCAUAGCAGAGCUCCCUCAGAUUAUUUGUUAGAAAUAAGAAGGCUGACAUGAACAAAGUGUACUUUAUCUAGUGAGCAGGAGCCCCUUUAAAGGAAUAAAAAAAACAGGACUAAUAAAAUGAGGAAA